rnacentral:rRNA from 1 species
GUUGUUGCAGUUAAAAAGCUCGUAGUUGGAUUUCUGGUGGGAGUGGCCGGUCCGCCGUAAGGUGUGUACUUGGUUGUCUCCCGUCAUCCUUGUGGGAACUGCUCUGGCAUUAAGUUGUCGGGGUUAUGGAACACAUCGUUUACUGUGAAAAAAUUAGAGUGUUUAAAGCAGGCUUAUGCCGUUGAAUACAUUAACAUGGAAUAAUAAGAUAGGACUUUGGCGUCUAUUUUGUUGGUUUGCACACCAAGGUAAUGAUUAAUAGGGAUAGUUGGGGGUAUUCGUAUUUAAUUGUCAGAGGUGAAAUUCUUGGAUUUAUGAAAGACGAACUUCUGCGAAAGCAUUUACCAAAGAUGUUUUCAUUAAUCAAGAACGAAAGUUAGGGGAUCGAAGAUGAUUAGAUACCAUCGUAGUCUUAACCAUAAACUAUGCCGACUAGGGAUUGGCGGGCGUCCAUUUAUGACUCCAUCAGCACCUUAUGAGAAAUCAAAGUCUUUGGGUUCCGGGAGGAGUAUGGUCGCGAUGCUGAAACUUAAAGGAAUU